UGGGGAAUAUUGGACAAUGGGCGAAAGCCUGAUCCAGCCAUGCCGCGUGUGUGAAGAAGGUCUUCGGAUUGUAAAGCACUUUAAGUUGGGAGGAAGGGCAGUAAGCGAAUACCUUGCUGUUUUGACGUUACCGACAGAAUAAGCACCGGCUAACUCUGUGCCAGCAGCCGCGGUAAUACAGAGGGUGCAAGCGUUAAUCGGAAUUACUGGGCGUAAAGCGCGCGUAGGUGGUUCGUUAAGUUGAAUGUGAAAGCCCCGGGCUCAACCUGGGAACUGCAUCCAAAACUGGCGAGCUAGAGUAGGGCAGAGGGUGGUGGAAUUUCCUGUGUAGCGGUGAAAUGCGUAGAUAUAGGAAGGAACACCAGUGGCGAAGGCGACCACCUGGGCUCAUACUGAAACUGAGGUGCGAAAGCGUGGGGAGCAAACAGG
rnacentral:rRNA from 1 species